rnacentral:rRNA from 1 species
AACGAACGCUGGCGGCAGGCUUAACACAUGCAAGUCGAACGCCCCGCAAGGGGAGUGGCAGACGGGUGAGUAACGCGUGGGAAUCUGCCCAUCCCUACGGAACAACUCCGGGAAACUGGAGCUAAUACCGUAUACGCCCUGAGGGGGAAAGAUUUAUCGGGGAUGGAUGAGCCCGCGUUGGAUUAGCUAGUUGGUGGGGUAAAGGCCUACCAAGGCGACGAUCCAUAGCUGGUCUGAGAGGAUGAUCAGCCACAUUGGGACUGAGACACGGCCCAAACGCCUACGGGAGGCAGCAGUGGGGAAUAUUGGACAAUGGGCGCAAGCCUGAUCCAGCCAUGCCGCGUGAGUGAUGAAGGCCUUAGGGUUGUAAAGCUCUUUCACCGAUGAAGAUAAUGACGGUAGUCGGAGAAGAAGCCCCGGCUAACUUCGUGCCAGCAGCCGCCGUAAAAC